rnacentral:rRNA from 1 species
GACGAACCGUGCGAACGUUGUUCGGAAUCACUGGGCUUAAAGGGCGCGUAGGCGGGCUAUCAAGUCUGGGGUGAAAUCCCACGGCUCAACCGUGGAACUGCCUUAGAUACUGACGGCCUCGAGGGAGAUAGGGGCAUGCGGAACUAACGGUGGAGCGGUGAAAUGCGUUGAUAUCGUUAGGAACUCCGGUGGCGAAAGCGGCGUGCUGGAUCUCUUCUGACGCUGAGGCUCGAAAGCUAGGGGAGCAAACGGG